rnacentral:lncRNA from 1 species
AGGUUUGCUGGAGUUUGGAUUUACUACUGAGUCAUAUUUGGAGCAUGCUGGAAUCUUACAACUGAGAUUACCGAGUCAGAAACUUGCAAACAUGAGUAACAUGGCCCUGCUCUGGAGACUACUGGGAACACAAACACAGCCAUUUAAGACAUCUACCUGCUUCUCCUUUGCCUUCCAUCAUGACUGAAAGUUGUCUGAGGUCUCCCAGCCACGUGUCCUGUACAGCCUGUGGAACUAUGUAGAAAGGAAAAAGGGAGAGAAAUGGAGACAUUUAUUGAAUCCAGGCACCAUGCUGUGGAUUGCUAAAUACAGCUUCGUAAUUUGCAUCUAGUUAUCUGGUCUUCCAAGCUAGCUUUUUCAAGUAUUUUUACCUUUACACAUAAAGUUCUAUUGGAGAUGUACUUCACCCUUUUCUGCACUAAAGAGUUUAAUUUUUCAA